AUCGAACGCUGGCGGCAGGCUUAACACAUGCAAGUCGAGCGGAUAGAGGUAGCUUGCUACUGAUCUUAGCGGCGGACGGGUGAGUAAUGCUUAGGAAUCUGCCUAUUAGUGGGGGACAACAUGUCGAAAGGAAUGCUAAUACAGCAUACGUCCUACGGCAGAAAGCAGGGGAUCUUCGGACCUUGCGCUAAUAUAUGACCAUAAGUCGGAUUAGCUAGUUGGUGGUGUAAAGGCCUACCAAGGCGACGAGCUGUAGCGGGUCUGAGAGGAUGAUCCGCCACACUGGGACUGAGACACGGCCCAGACUCCUACGGGAGGCAGCAGUGGGGAAUAUUGGACAAUGGGCGGAAGCCUGAUCCAGCCAUGGCGCGUGUGUGAAGAAGGCCUUAUGGUUGUAAAGCACUUUAAGCGAGGAGGAGGCUACUUUAGUUAAUACCUAGAGAUAGUGGACGUUACUCGCAGAAUAAGCACCGGCUAACUCUGUGCCAGCCGCCGCCGUAA
rnacentral:rRNA from 1 species